AGUGAACGCUGGCGGUAGGCCUAACACAUGCAAGUCGAACGGCCGCACCGUAAGAGCUUGCUCUUACGGGUGGCGAGUGGAGGACGGGUGAGGAAUACAUCGGACUCUACUUUUUCUUGGGGGAUAACGUAGGGAAACUUACCCUAAUACCGCAUACGACCUACGUGUGAAAGCAGUGGAGCUUCGGACCUUGCGCGAGUGAAUGAGCCGAUGCCCGAUUAGUUAGUUGGCGGGGUAGAGGCCCACCAAGGCGACGAUCCGUAGCUGGUCUGAGAGGAUGAUCGGCCACACUGGAACUGAGAGACGGUCCAGACGCCUACGGGAGGCAGCAGUGGGGAAUAUUGGACUAUUGGCGAAAGCCUGAUAGAGCCAUACCGCGUGGGUGAAGAAGGCCUUCGGGUUGUAAAGCUCUGUUGUUGGGAAAGAAAAGCAGCAGGUUAAUACCCCGCUGUUCUGACGGUACCCAAAGAAUAAGCACCGGCUAACUUCGUG
rnacentral:rRNA from 1 species